UCACCUUAAAUCAGACCCCACCGACACCACCUGGUAACGGAGCUGGACAUCUGCGCCAAAAAUGACAAAAGCCAGCGCUGCCCUGGCUCUGAUUCUUUGUCUCGAACUGCUUUCUGACCUCCCUGAAGUAAGAAAGUGGCUGAGAGAACAUGUAACUUGCUAUUCCCAGGAACAUAUAACUUGCUACUCCCAGGAGCAGCUUUUCCAUCAAAGUUUCCAGCUGGGGAGGUCCAGUUUCCCUCCUGCACACCACAUUUCAGGGCAAGGUGCCAGGAGCCAGCACUUACUCUCUACUUGUUGCAGGAUUACACCUUCGGGAAAUGUGAUGCAAUUUGCAAAUCCUCCUUCGUCUGGCUUCAUCCUAUUCCGUCUAAUUUGAUUUAUGCAGAAAAGAUAAACUGCUGUAGCUGUAGCUCACCUUCGCCUCCAGCUGCAGGGGCUGAAGGAAGCAGGUUGGUUCCAGCACAGGGUCUGAAACACAGUUUGUAAACUCAACCACUGAUUCAAGAGAUAUUGCAUGUGCUGAUGCUAGACAUUACACGGUGACCCACAUUUUGGGGUUUUCUUUUUUCAUGUUAUAAAAUGUUUUAUUUAAGUUCACCAUCUUUUGCAAGUAAGGAACGGCACACGCCAGCAAACGGAAGGGAAAAAAUGUUGUGGCUUCUCGAUGAGGAUUUUAUAAAAGGCAAAGCUGGAAGAGUGUUGGAAAGAAGAUGGUUAGUGGGGUCAUCUAAAAUCAGGCCCUCGGAAAUGGUAGGAGAGACCUGAAGUUGUUUAUAUCCCCCCAAUUAAAGCAUCUGCUGGACCUUAUGAGUUCUGACAUGGUUUCUUAAUGACCCAUCCUGUCCUGCCACCAAACUUGAGCCUUGGUGCAGCUGGGACU